AUUGAACGCUGGCGGCAUGCUUUACACAUGCAAGUCGAACGGCAGCGCGGGCUUCGGCCUGGCGGCGAGUGGCGAACGGGUGAGUAAUACAUCGGAACGUGCCCAGCAGUGGGGGAUAGCUCGGCGAAAGCCGGAUUAAUAACGCAUACGACCUGAGGGUGAAAGCGGGGGAUCUUCGGACCUCGCGCUAUUGGAGCGGCCGAUGGCAGAUUAGCUAGUUGGUGGGGUAAAGGCCUACCAAGGCGACGAUCUGUAGCUGGUCUGAGAGGACGACCGGCCACACUGGGACUGAGACACGGCCCAGACUCCUACGGGAGGCAGCAGUGGGGAAUUUUGGGCAAUGGGCGAAAGCCUGAUCCAGCAAUGCCGCGUGUGUGAUGAAGGCCUUCGGGUUGUAAAGCACUUUUGGCGGGAACGAAAAGGACUGUGCCAAUACCACGGUUCGAUGACGGUACCCGCAGAAUAAGCACCGGCUAACUACGUG
rnacentral:rRNA from 1 species